rnacentral:rRNA from 1 species
UACGAAGGGAGCUAGCGUUGUUCGGAAUUACUGGGCGUAAAGGGCGCGUAGGCGGUUUAGCAAGUUGGAUGUGAAAGCCCAGGGCUCAACCCUGGAACUGCAUUCAAGACUGCUUUACUUGAAUUCGGUAGAGGUUGGUGGAAUUCCCAGUGUAGAGGUGAAAUUCGUAGAGAUUGGGAAGAACACCCGUGGCGAAGGCGGCCAACUGGACCGACAUUGACGCUGAGGCGCGAAAGCGUGGGGAUCAAACAGG